GAUAGGAAGUGUCGACUGUGAGCAGCACAGGACAACGGCAGCUUGCUCCUCUGUGACGUUAGCGGCGGACGGGUGAGUAACACGUGGGUAACCUACCUAUAAGACUGGGAUAACUUCGGGAAACCGGAGCUAAUACCGGAUAAUAUUUCGAACCGCAUGGUUCGAUAGUGAAAGAUGGUUUUGCUAUCACUUAUAGAUGGACCCGCGCCGUAUUAGCUAGUUGGUAAGGUAACGGCUUACCAAGGCGACGAUACGUAGCCGACCUGAGAGGGUGAUCGGCCACACUGGAACUGAGACACGGUCCAGACUCCUACGGGAGGCAGCAGUAGGGAAUCUUCCGCAAUGGGCGAAAGCCUGACGGAGCAACGCCGCGUGAGUGAUGAAGGUCUUCGGAUCGUAAAACUC
rnacentral:rRNA from 1 species